GCCCACUGUAGCUCAGCGGUUAGAGCGCUCCACUUAUUCUUAGGACUAUUGUUAGGAGAGGGCCGCGGUUCGAAUCCGCGCAGGGGCA
rnacentral:tRNA from 1 species